UGAUGUGGCGGCCCGUGCGUGAUGACGAAGACGUGCCUCUGCUGCCACGCGCUACGGCGCUGGCACAGCAGUUCUACCGGCACCGUCCUAGUGUGAGGCUACGUCCAUCUGCUUCUUCAUCGGACCGACCCCGUCAUACCUGCAAGGAUAGGUUGAAUAACAGAUUACGGUACGAGUCACAUGCCACGGGAAUAGGCGACGCCACGACUUACCACAUGGAGGGUCCUUCGAAGGUACCAGGAACAGACGACUUGCACCCGUGCACUGCAGGUCGACUGCCCUCUUCGUUCUUUUGUACCAGUUCGUUUUAUUUGCUGCAGGACGUGCCGUAGCAAAAAAUAAAAAAAACACUAUAAAUGA